GGUCUGUGAUGAAUAGUAAAGGUCUGAUUGCCUGAAGAAUUACACUUCCAUUACUCUUUCAACUCCCAGCAAUUUCUCACCCAUCAUACCUCAGCAAUGCUGGACUGGGGGAGUGUUUGCUGACAAAUGGUGAUGUGUUCAGUUCGUGUUCCCUAGAGCAUCACAGGCACAAUUCUGAUCUGCAUCCAACAGAACCAGUCAAGGAAUAAGGAGUUUUGGAGGUGCAUAUGGGGUACAUGAUCUCAAACUUUCUUGCUGAGACC
ensembl:scaRNA